AACCACCAAUGAGUUGCUACCUUGGAUAUGGCUUGUCUGGAACCUGCAAAUAUGUUUGCGACCCAGGAGAAGAUCAUAUGUACGGUAUGUCAGACUGCGAGGGACGCAUCUGCUGUUACCAUGGCUUCGGAAAAUGAUCUCAUGUCAUGGGUACAAAGAAGUGAACUACGCUGAGAUGCUUAUACUUUGACUGAAGAUCUUCAGCAAGGGAUCCAUUCCUUGAGAUCCUAAAAUUGCUUUUAGUAUGUACUAGUAUUGUAUUAUGGGACGUAUCAAGGCAACAUGCUGUAAAAGAAUGGAAAUAAAAUGGGAUACAACGGAGAAAUUCA